ensembl:lncRNA
AGCCAUUCCCUCUAGUCCUAUCACUAGUCACCCAAGAGAAGAGGCUGACCCCCAGCUCACUACAACCUCCCUUCAGGUAGUUAUAGAGAGCAAUAAGGUCUCCCCUGAGCCUCCUCUUCUCUAGACUGAACAAUCCCAGCUCCUUCAGCCGCUCCUCAUAAGGCCUGUGCUCCAGACCCCUCACCAGCUUUGUUGCCCUCCUCUGGACACGCUCCAGGGCCUCGAUGUCUUUCUUACAGUGAGGGGCCCAAAACUGGACACAGUACUCGAGGUGCGGCCUCACCAGUGCUGAGUACAGGGGGAUAAUUACUUCCCUGUUCCUGCUGGCCACACUAUUUCUGAUACAAGCCAGGAUGCCAUUGGCCUUCUUGGCCACCUGGGCACACUGCUGGCUCAUGUUCAGCCUAGCAUCAAUCAGCACCCCCAGGUCCAUUUCCUCUACACAGUCUUCCAGCCACUCUGCCCCAAGCCUGUAACGUUGCCUGGGGUUUGUUGUGGCCAAAGUGCAGGACCCGACAUUUGGUCUUGUUGAAUCCCAUCCCAUUGGCUUCAGCCCAGCUAUCCAGCCUAUCCAGAUCCCUCUGUAGGGCCUCGCUACCCCCAGGCAGAUCAACACUUCCAGCCAGCUUGGUGUCAUCUGCAAACUUACUGAGGGUGCACUCAAUGCCCUCAUCCAGGUCAACAACAAAGAUAUUAAAGAUAUUAAAAAUAUCUUUUCUUGAACAGACAAUGAAGAGAGAGUCCAUACUCUGGGUAACUACUACUUAAAAAUUCAUCUGCUUUUCACAUCCCAAUAUGCCCAGUGCGGAGGGAAAGGAGAGAGGUACCUAACUGUCUUCAGAUGUGUUUCAUUUCCCCUGUCAUUUCAUGAAACCUGAAGCCGGAAUACUAUGAAAAGUGCAUUUGAGGCUUGAGUUUUCUUUCUUUUUAACAGCCUACUGCCUGCUUUUAAUGUUUACUGAGCUUUUGGCUGUAAAAAUGUAGCUGCAGCACAUGGUUGAGAGGUUUUUCUCAGUCUGUAGUCUCUGUCACAAAGGAAUUCCUCCUCCAGACUCCUUUGCCUUCCAUUCUGAGCUCCUCAGAGACCUCUGCUGCGGUCCCUGGCAGCAGAUCAAGGGGAAACAGCUUCAGUAAAAGCUCUCAUUGUAGCAACAAAACAUCAUUGAUCAACCAUGUUCAGUGCCAACAGCUUUUUGAAUCUGGCAUUUUUAAUGCCCAGUUUCUGCUUUCAUUCAAUUUUCAGGUAUCCUAUGUAAAGAAAGCCUCCUGAGAGGUUUUUUGUUGGUGUUGUUUUUGUUCCAUCCUCUGAGUUGAGUUUGAAACAAAAAUCUGCAGCUGAGUAGCCCUGAAAACAUCAGUCCAAAUCCAUUUCAGGCCAAGCCUGGCAGAGCCUUUUCCUGCCCUUCAUGUCUGUAGGGAAGGCAGAAGAAAAUAUGCUGAAGCACCAGCUGAAUAGUCGAACACCUGGCAGAGAGAGCUGCUCUGCUCAGCAGAGCAGCUACAGCACAGGCAGUCAACAGCUGCAGGAGAAAGGCAGCGACAUCAAGAUGCACUCCAUUGAAAACUGGUAAUUGAUCUGUUCUGCCACGACACACUGAAACACCAUCCUUCCAUGCUGGAGUUGCAGGCAGAGUGGGAAUGACUGACUGUUAUGAAUGCUAUUUGCAGAAUACCAAUGCAGUGCCCUUUCUCCACUUAAUAGAAAUUUAGAGUUCUUCACAGGGUAAGUGACUGUGCAAUCAGAAUAAACCAAAACUCAUUCAGAAAGCUACGGUAAAUCCCAGCACCGAGCAAGGUAUCCCUCACCCGGGACCAGACAGCCAUUUAGGAGUCCCCAGUUUCCCUACACUCCUCCUGUAUCUGGCUGAAAUUCUCCACACAGGCAACUGAGCUGCCAGUGGCUGGUUCAGAGUGUUGGGCACACAGGGCUGAAGACAUCCAUAUUUGGUGGGACAGACCCUGGGUUAGUCUUCAAACUCAGGGCAAUUCUUUCAACUAAACUGGAGAUAUUCCGUUUUUAUAUCUACAUCCUUGCUGGCAGAGCUCAGCCUAUUGCAGAGAAAGAUUCUGAUCUUUCUUUCAUCCCCAUGGGACACUGACUUCAGUAAAAUACUCCAUGCUUCAUUUCCCAGUGUUGCAAAACAACUUAAUGGAUCACACACUUAGGGGAGCGUUUCCAUUAAUUUCUAGCUAACAUUUCACCUCUCAUAGCACCAAAAUGUCAGCGGCUUUAGCCUUUUCAAAGCAUUUCCUCCAAGAGCACACGAAGUAAAAAGAAGGCAACUCGCAGUCUUCCUUAGCUAGAUCCAACCUUAUGUCACCUCUGAGGAUGGCGGAAGAGUUACACAAAGCCCCUUUCACUUACCUUUCCUCUGAGCACUUAGCCCUUGAUGACUGACAUUUGUUUGUGUGUGGCCCUGAUCCUCUUCCUCUUUGCACAGAUAUCAAGCACGGAGCUUUGCUAUAGUUGACGUCAGUGGCAUUUUAUCAGCCAAAGAGCAGACAGAAGUGCAGGUACAGCUGACAGAGGAGGCAGGUUGUGCGAGCAAAAAUAUGCAUUUGCUGUUACCAAAAUGGAACUUAUGCUUGUCUCUUUGCAGCUAUAGUCCUUUGAAGCAUUACGGAACCCUGUGAUAACCUAGAUGUUAGAGACGGUAUAAUCACUUAGAGAGUUAAUGUGCAUAAACACAUAUAAAAUGAUUGUUUGCAUUAUUCCUGCACAGUCUUUGUACUGUAUUACUGCAUAAAUCAGAUCUAUUUUACUUUCAUUUGCUAAUCCUUCUACUCUUUUGGGAGCAUCUCAGUGAAUGAAUACACAUUCCAUAUCCUUACAGCCUUAAAAACAAAUGUAUGUUCACAGAUACAUCUUCGAGAAUUUUUUUGCCACAAAGCAUAUUAUUCAAUGUAAUUAUGUAAGAUGCAUGACAAAUCUGAGUGCAAAGGGGUGUGUCAGCCAGCAAGUCUUAACAGGAAAACUCAAAGCUUACACAUAGGUCCUGUACUUCUUUGGUGGCAGCUGCAGUCCUCUGAAGGUCAUAAUCUGUCCUGUCUUGCUCCUGCUGGUACCCAAGAGCAUAUGGCAGCCUUUGCAUGGAUGAGACAGUCACAAGUCAUACCCAUGCAGAAACCAGGAGAAAAAUCAGCAGGAUCAUUUGGAGCAUAUGGAUCCAACGAGGCUUGAAACCUGCCUGAGUGGAGGAGUACGGCAUGCUCAGCUGGUAGCAAACGGCUGUAUUUCUCAGAGAGGAUGAUCCUGUGAAAAGUGGGGUGGAAACUGGUGGCUCCCAGAGGGAUAAGGCUCAUGCUAGCUGGAAGUGAAGGCUACUUUAUAUAGUGAGAGGACAACCCAGAGGGAGUAUGUGAGAUGCUGCCUCAGUAUUAAGCAAUAAUUUAGCAGCCUCCUGUGGGGAAAAAUCCGUAUCACAUUAGGGAGAAGUUGCAUGGCAGACAAGAGAUGUGUUUACAAAUAUUUUUCCUUUGAUUAUUUAGAGGCUUCUUGCAAAGCCACAUUGUACUUCGUUUUGGACACCAUAGCAGACAAACACCGACUCAAAGGGUUCAUAAAACGCUAAAAGGGGCACGAAGCACACAUGGAAGUUCUUCUUGCAAGGCCAAAAUCCAAUGGCAGAUACAAAGUAUGUACAUAGUUUUCUUUCAUGAUAACAUAGUCCUGUCUGUGUUGGUUAUCAUGCACCCAGAGAGCUGCCUCGCAGGCACGCUGCAUCUUUUUGCCAGCCUUUGACUACAUUUAGCAUGUAGAACUGGUUCUGUACAGGCACACGUUGUAGAGGCACCAGCCCUCACCAUAUAGAACAGUUUGACAGUUCUUACUUGCUGCACUAAGGUCAGCCAUGGCUCUCUGUACAUAUUUGUAUUUCAAUCCUGGCCCAGCAGGCUUGCAGAUGGAUGCAGAGCUCACGUAUGGCAUGGACACCAGCGGUGCUGGGGAGGAGGGACUCUGUGGUGUCCAAAAGUGAUUAGCUUUACUUCCAAAAGGGGAAUUCAGAGAGAAAAUGCAUUGCAGCACUUGGUCCUGGCACUAGCUGUAAUGUAGAUGUCUGUCUGAUGGGCACUGGUCUAAGACCAACAAAAUGCGAUUCAUACAGGCCACUGAGCAGCUUCUCAUGUUAAUGACUUUUGAAUGCCAGUGGCCUGAAUUGCAUCUGUAUUUUAUUAACACUGUUUACAGAGGGAGUAGAAUUCCAGAUGGAGCAUAAAGUACCUUUUUUCUUGUUCUUCCCAUAAUUGCAAAUGCUCAAAUUGCACUUGUAGCUGUUUUAUGACUUGACAUUGACCUUACACUCUUUGCAUUUUCUACAGCGGAACACUGCAAUUUCUAGGGAGUAGAAAGGUUAUACAGAACUGGUCAAUGCUCUGUGUGAUGCAAAUAAAAAUAAAGUUGUGAGUGUUUAAGCAAGUAUUUCUUUCCAUUUGGUCUUUGAAUUUUUAUUGCUUCCAGCCAGGUCACUUGAAAUUAAAUUGUCCUUCACAGUUCAAGCUAUGGUUGCCUUACGGAUGGCAUAAAGACAGUGCUUUAAGGUCAUUAGAGCCCUGAAGAUGUUAGAGCAGUCCAGAUGAUUUGCAUCUCUAAGGGAAAGGCUUUUAUUUCUGAACUGUUCACCUAAUACUGAUUUGAAAAUGUACCUUUUUCUUCUUCUUCUCAUGAAAACGCCUGUGCCAAGAAUUAGAAAAAGCCUUACUUACAGCCUUGAUGCAUCACCUCUCCAGCAGCUCCCUGACCUGCUGCACUUUGGGUGGCAAUGAUGGCAAAGAAAGAAAGGAGCACUUUGGGCCUCGGAGCUACCAUCGAUCUCAGACAAGGUGAGGGGAAGGAGGCGGGUGCCUCAGCUCCAGAUCAGGGACCAGAUGCACCAUCUGCUUUGUACUGCACUCUCCUGAUGGGAAGACAGCCAUUUCCACUGACAGCUCUGGAGUGGAGGAGACUUUUUCCACUUUCCUGCUUGCUCCUAGUGGGGAAUGCUGUGCAGCCUCCUGGAAGUUGGAAUGCUUAUUGCGUGUGUUACUGAUGCUCCUGCACGUCCCCUGCCAGAUAGGAGCGGUGGUGCCUCUACACCUCAGCUUCCAUCUGCACCUUCCCUUUCAGCAGUGACCUUGGGGUGCGAUGGGAAAGCAUGGAAGUGCAGAUCAAAAACUCUUCAAGAAACGCAGCUAGGAAGCAAGCAGCAUACUGUAGUAUGUGGCUGCUGGAGCUGAGACACGACUGUCCUCUCUGACACGACUGCAGGGAAUCCGUGCAAUGCUUCUCAGAAAUAAUUUGUUUCUGCGCUGGAUCUACUUUUGCACAACGGGGAUACUUGCCUCUAUCAAACCGGUGGUCGAAAUCCGAGGUCGGCGCGUGAAGGAGGAGAGUGAACUUCCCGGUGAUGCCUUUAGAUGUCUCCCUUCCUCGUCUGUUCGGCGAUGACAGCAGGGGCUGGGCUGCCUGCGGGUUGGGCUGCAGAGCAGUCAGAUUGCCUCGGAGGGUAAACGAGGAUUUUUGAAAACCUUCUAAAGCAAAAGUUAAUGGAAAAGAGAGCCUCGUUGCUCACAGAUACGUCAUUACUUUCUCAGGCGUUUAUGAACAAAUAAAAUGCAUCUACUACAUGGGACAAGAGUUCUUCCCCUGUGCCCCACGCUCCAGCCCUACCUCCAAGCAAUUGUCUUACUUAUUACAAUUUCAACAUCUCUUCUCUUUGAAGUACAACCUGUUGUUUCGUUAUAUUAUUUCCAUUCAUGCUGUGGAAAUAAAACUUACGACAGUGUCGAUUUCUCAGAUCCGCUUGUAGACUUGGAAAUUUGCAUCAGAUUAUUCUAAUCACUUAGCCUUGUUGUAUAUAUUUACACAAGCACUUUUGAUGUUUAAACAGACCAGGCUGUAAUGAGAUAGGCGCGGGGAAAUAAAUACCCCAAAGAAAAGGAAUGUUCUCUUUUUUUCAGGCCGCUUCCUAAACUAGAAAUGUUCAGCUAAAACAGUGGGUCAGUGCCUUUGGGACCUGAGGGAAUGACUCUAAGGGUGGAAGCACGGAGGGAUGGAUCUGCCUUCAGAUGCACUGGGCAGAGAGAAGAGCAUCUGGGUGCCUGUGAGGGUGAGGAGCGUGCUGAGGACUUGUCCUUCUGUGCCCUUUGUUACAGCUGUAAGCCGCCUCCUUGGCCAUCCUGGCACAAGAAACUAUCCCACAUGAACCCUAGAUGUCAAUAUGCAUUGACACAAGUUUCUAGAGGCUGAGCAGGAAGAGGAUCAGCUCCACUGAUUUCAGUGGCAACAGUUGCAGACACAGCAAAAAGUCCUGGGACUGACUGUGGUGCAAUUGUGCUGGCUCAGCUCCAGACAUGCAGGAAGUCCUGCAGCAUUGUGUUCCUGCAGGCAGGAGGCCUGGUAAGCACAGCAGCCACGCAAUCAGGUUAACUCAGUCUUGAGGCCGGCUCCAUUAGAUCAAGAACAACAGGCAAACAGAAGCAGCCCUUACAUAGCAAAUGUAGAAAAAGGUGGAGAAGUAGACCAGGUGAAGGAGAGACAGGAAUCUUAUGGACUGAAGAAGACAAGAAAUCUUACCCUAAGAUGCAGGAAAUUGCCAAUUGUUUCAUUUACAGUUCAGCUUCACAAAGGCCAGGGGAUCGUAUUUACAUUUGCAUGAUAGAACACAAAGAAUACUUGCAAUUCUUGAAAUAGCAGAAAGGGAGAACAUUCUGGAUGACCCUGUUGUUAACGUAGUCUUGAAGUGGAAUCUGGAACAAAUCAGCCAUUACACAAUAAACCACUCAAAAGACUACAAAAAACUGCGUGUCAGCACAGUUUUAAUUUUGUAACGGGAGUUAGUGAAGUUUGUGUGUAAGAACUUAAAGAAAGAAAAAGAGAAGCUUGUUCUGAGAAGAUGCACUUCCAUAAACUCAGUGACAGAUGAGAGCAGACUUUGUAACUCUCACACUGAAAGUGAUCUAUCCACUUAGACAUGCAAAUGUCGUUUUGAAUAAGUCUAACAUUUUGAAUUGUCAACGGUGGAAAGAGGUUUCUCUAAAGGCAAGUUGUAUUCUUCAGUUAUCCUAAGCUUGUAAACCAUGUAGAACCAAGGGGGAAAAAAAAGAACAAAAUUGAAAGAUUCUGCUUUACUAGCAUUUGGUGACUGAAAGAUUCCGCUUUACUAGCAUUUGGUGACUGAAAGAGCUCAUUAAGAUAACAUUUUCCACUUUAUAACCGCUUCACAAGCAAAUAUUCCUGGCAGCACUGCUCCUCUCAUACUUAGGGAUACUUUAAAGAGGAUGGCCAGGACCUUUGCCUGGGCCAGAAGAGAAGCAAGCGCAUGGCCAGUGCUGGCUGGGCAGUCUCUGAGCACAUUCCUCUGCCCUCCAUGGAUGCAGCAGCAGUAACACCCCAGGGCUUUCAUUCUAGCUGACUUGUUUUGUCUUAUUCCUAACUUGCGAGUUAUAUGCCUUGUUGCACCAGUAACUUCAUGAGACUCUGUGACCCACUUGAAGCAUGGUCAGAGACUAAUGGUCCCUCUUCACCUUAAAGGACAUGCACUUGUGAAAUGAUCAGAAGUACCAGGAGAUUCACAACUUUUCUCCUUCACAGAAGUAUCCCAAGACAUAGAUAGCACACACAGUGGGAACCAUGUCAUUUUCCCUCAGCAGCAACUGAUUCAGCAGCACCAUCUUGACCUAUGCCAGCUACUGCUUCAGCUCCUUGCCUGUAGGAGAGAGACAAAUGGACUUUGAUAGCUAUCCAACAUGAGCAGAACUCUCCCAUGGUGGACAGGUUUGGAAUACUCCAGGUCUAACAAAAUGGGAGCUCCUAUCAGUUCCACCCUGAGGUCUCAUGGAUGCCUCGAGUAGCUUUGCAGCUCCAUUGUGACAUUACACCAAUUUUCCAUCAUGACCAGCAUGAUCCUACUUGGAUAUUCCAGGUGGUGCCCUGUCCCUACCUCCUAAGGGAUAGCUCAUGUCUGACAGCAAAAGCAGAUUUCAAUGAUGUUCUUGAUUUAAAUCCAGAAAACAACAUCUUGAUGAACUCAUGCUCCUGGUUAUUAGUAGAGACUACCAGAUUGCUGCACAUCAGGGAGGGGAACUGCAUUUUCCUUCUCAACUUCUUGUAACCUAAAGGAGUAGAAAGACUGCUUUAUGCUUAUGGUCGAUAGGGUGCAUGGUGUGCACAGAGAAAUCACACUUCAUCUUGCAAAUUUAUCAUACUAUUAUUCUACAGUUUUUCUACAGCUAAAACCUACAAGUUGCUAAAAUUGCUACCAUUGUUAAAUGCUACUCAGACCUGAAAUACAUCUAUAGUUAUCAAAACUGAGCUGGGAAGCCAAUGGGUAUAAGAGACCUAACUGUGAAUGUCUUGCUCCAGGUUACUUUCUGUAGUUGGUAAUAGAGAGAAAGAAAGAUUUGCAUUAGCAGUUCUGAUCCAAGCAGGACGUAGUAAAAUUGGGAAUCAUUUUCAUGUAAACACCUAAUUAAGCUUUGAGUUCUAGUUUAGUUUUGGAAGCAAGUUCUGAAGUACUUAUAACAAGGAUUAAAAGAUGUAACAAAGGGACAAGAGUCUUGAAACAGCUCCUGAAGUCAGGGUUGCUCACCUUUCUGCUUCCUGAUUAAGGCAAAGAUAACAUCUGCAAUAAACUGGAGUGAACUGAUUGAUUUGCUUGAGAAGUUUCCAAAAGCAUAAGUACCUUUUCCUGAAGCAACCUAUCGUGACAAAAAAAAAAUCCCUUUCCUCUUAAAAAAAAAAAUCACAUACAAAAUAUGCACAUUUCAGCACUUUUCCUCCCUGAGGCUUUCUCAGUCUAGGAAAAAAAAGAGAUGUUUUUUUCCAAUUGCCUGUAAAAGGUUUGCAUCUCUGCCAGGUGGUUUGCAUCUGACAGUCAAAUACUGCUGAUGAGAAUCAUCAGUUCCUUCAAGGACUUGACAUUGCAUCCAAUUUGUUUCGCAAGUGAGUGUGUAAGGAAGUGACUGCAGCUAUUAUUCUGUUAGAUUUAGUCAAAACAUCCCCAGAAGAGGUAGGAGGGCAUGCUGGGAAUUGUUUGAUGAGCCUGCUGGGAGAAUAAUUACAUGGCCAGCAGUUUGUUCACUUUAUCUUCUGUAGCACUUUCUUAGUGCCUUUUGUGUGGUUUGAGUACUCGGCUUUUUGAAUGAAAGAAUAUUUACUGCUAUUGUCUCUCCAGCUAAUUCCCAGAUUAUGCUGUCUCAGAUGUGCAUUCUGGGAUAAUUCUGUGUUACAUUAAGUAUUAUGAAAUUUAAAUAUUUUCUUCAAUAUUCUCUUCCUUACUCGAGAUGGAAUUUUCUGCACCAUAACUGUGACUGAACUGGGAAGAGUUGCCCUCUGAUUAUGAUGCUUACACAGACCAUAGGACCAAUUCUGCUGUAAUCUUGCUGCUCUGAGCAGGACGAAUGUCAAAACUUGCAACUUCAAGACAAUUUUUUGGGGUUAAAAUGGCACAUAUAAACGUUGAUUUUGUUUUUAAUGUAACGUCUUACAGCUUAAAGCUUUCAAGAGUAGCCUAGGUAGCAGGGAAACAAAGAUCUGUUAGAGUUUCAGUUUGUUUCAGCAGCUUUUGAAAAAAAUAAAUGGGUAUGAGCCCCUGGAAGACAGCAUGUGGAAGUAUUACCAAAAUAUUAAUUCUGAGGUGACAGGAAAAUCGAAAGCUAUGAAAGGAAUCACAUUUAAAACUGGAAACUGUGCUUAUUCAGCUGACUACAAGGGGGUCCAUGACAGCUGUGGGCGCCUUCUAUAAGGCAGGGAUGCAAUAAAAAAGGUGGUAAUAGCAAACCUCAUCCAGCAAUCCACCUUCCAAGAGCAGUCUGACUGCUCCUCUCUAGACCAGUUCUCUUCUCAGCUGCUGUUCCUGAUCCAGCAGACCUGUGUGUGUGUAUCCUAAGCCAUCAGUCUCACAUCUCUCUGGUGGGUGCAGUAUGUGUGCUUUUUGGCACUCCAGGAGGAAAUACAUGGCUGCACAUCCCUUGUUUUAAAUAAAUUGAAGUGAAUACAAAAGAAGGAGAAGAGAAAAGUAAAGGAUGUAAAAAUUACCAUACCAGAGCCUUUUGCUGCUAGAAAUAUGGAUAAAAAAUAUUGCUUGUGACUCCAGUGAAAUGAGCCUGCUCUUAGAAAGCCUUCUACAAUCUAUCUUGUUUGUGCACUUUAGACUUCAGAAGAACUAACCUUAUUGGAAUAGAGUUGGAAACAUUGGAUCAUUGGCCAAAGCUUUAAAGAAAAUGUUUCCUUGCUACAGAAAGAACAUUAGCAUUCUCACAAAGAAGGUUCCAUAGAAACAAGAAAUACAUUUUUACAGCAAAACUCCCUUUGAUGUGAAUCUUGAGCAAAGCACAAAAAAAGGGCCAGUGGGAUUCUAUUUCCUUCUGUGUACGCUUUUGCAAUUCUUUUUUUUUUUUUUUUUUUUGCUAAUGGGCCACCUGGGAUAUUGUCUUUCUGGUGACUGAACUAAGGCACCUUAGCAGGGUGGGAGGGAUACAAAGGAUUCCUCAAAGGAACGCACUUGCUCUAAGCAGCUUCUCAGAGGGAAAUAUUUCUGUGUCUUUUACCCAUCUUUUCGGUUUCUUCACAAUGUCUCCUUCACCUUACAGUUGCACAGCAGAAGUGCAACUUGAAUUAGCAGCCAGCAUCAGCUCCAGCAAUCUGCUCCUGACAGAAGCUAGUGCUGGAGAAAAAAAAUCAAGAAAUUACCUUACUGGCAACAAAGAAAUGUCAGGCUACUUCCUAAGGAGCACAUCAGUUGGAGGGCUGCGUUUGCCUGAAGAGGGUAGUGAUGGGGACACUGUUGAAAAGGACUGAACCCUACCAAGAAGAAAAGAAAAGGGAUGAUGUGAGGCAUGUGGGAUAUCAGCAGGAAAGAACGAAACAGCACUGGAGGAAGAAACUGAAUUUCAGGAAAAAAAGAAAGGAACUUUGCAUGCAUCCUCAUUUAAGUUUACUGAAUGCCCUACAGCUGUAUGAAAACCUCAUGCAGGGGAGAGAACACACAGACAAUCUAGGAUGGUUUGGGCUGGUUUCUCUGCAUUUGUACCUCCCUUUCUGCUACCUAUGGAACAAUUCAUUUCUGUACCCCUCCUGAAGUUUGUGCAUCUGGCUGAGCUGGCAGCCUCGUUUACAUGAAGAUGACACAUUUAGGCUCCAUGUCCUUAUUUUCUCC